AGAGGGGCACACAAGGAACGUGGUGGUCUAGGUUACCAGGUAUUAAACAUGCGGUGGCAGAGUGGAGAAGCACACAGUCGUAUACACGGGCUUGUCGUGUUAUGAGGACAUAAACAAUCAAUACACCUCACUUCGGAGUCUAAGCCAGCGCGUCCAUUCCGCUACCCACACCGACAAUGUCAAUGUACAUGAUUGGGCAACAUCCACCGACCAAUAACUUCGACUGAAAAAGGGCUGCAGUAUAACAUCUGAUUUCAUCCGUGUCAUAACAAUGAUGAAUUUUAGAUGUGAGAAUAUCAUGAUCAAGAUAAGUCAACAAAGUUUUCGAAGAAGUUUUUAACGAGCCAUCUGAACAAUAAAACAUGUUAUUCGAUUACUGUCUGAGCAGAAUAAUUGUAAAUAUAUAUACCUAACUGUAACGUCAUACGUAUGAUGACGACAUAGCUAUUACCGUUAUGUGUCGCCUAUGACUACACUCAGCUUUCAUUGUACACCUGAAGAGCCGUUGAACGGCGAAAGAUCUUGCGCUGAUAUAAUGGAGUUUUGGCAAAAAGAAAUAUUAUAUAUGUUAUUUUUAUUCUUCAGUGAUUUCUUAAGAGCCGUUGAACUUGAAGUGAUUGAAGUGACUUUUGUAGCAAUGGUCUGUCCAAUGAUAGAAAUGUAAAAACAUAAAUUGAUUUUAAUUAAAGGGUUUCCUUGCUA